rnacentral:rRNA from 1 species
UACGAAGGGGGCUAGCGUUGCUCGGAAUCACUGGGCGUAAAGCGCACGUAGGCGGAUCUUUAAGUCAGGGGUGAAAUCCCAAGGCUCAACCUUGGAACUGCCUUUGAUACUGGGGAUCUCGAGUCCGGAAGAGGUUGGUGGAACUGCGAGUGUAGAGGUGAAAUUCGUAGAUAUUCGCAAGAACACCAGUGGCGAAGGCGGCCAACUGGUCCGGUACUGACGCUGAGGCACGAAAGCGUGGGGAGCAAACAGG